rnacentral:rRNA from 1 species
UUCGCAAUGCCCGAAAGGGUGAACGAGCGACGCCGCGUGCGGGAAGAAGGGCUUCGGCUUGUAAACCGCUUUUGUUUGGGACGAAGGCCUGUGUCGUGAACAUGGGAUUGACGGUACCAGACGAAUAAGCCCCGGCUAACUCCGUGCCAACAGCCGCGGUAAUACGUAGGGUGCAAACGUUGUUCGGAAUCACUGGGCAUAAAGGGCGCGUAGGCGGUCUGAUAAGUCAGGUGUGAAAUCCCUCGGCCUAACCGAGGAACUGCAUUUGAUACUGUCGGGCUAGAGUGCAGGAGGGGAGAGUGGAAUUCCUGGUGGAGCGGUGAAAUGCGUAUAUAUCAGGAGGAACGCCGGCGGCGAAAGCGACUCUCUGGCCUGUUACUGACGCUGAGGCGCGAAAGCUAGGGGAGCAAACGGGAUUAGAUACCCCGGUAGUCCUAGCCCUAAACGAUGGGCACUAAGUAGAGGGGUUUU